UUCCGGGAAACCAAAGCUUUUGGGUUCCGGGGGAAG
rnacentral:rRNA from 2 species